ACUAAACCAAUGUUUUUUUGUUAAAAAAAAGGAAAAAUUUAAGUUAAAUUUUAAAAUUUCCUGUAAAUGAUUAUAAAAAUAUUCUUGCAGUUGGAUUUCUUGCCUAUCUGGCAAGGGACUGUGUUAGCAGUGCACGUGAGGGAGGGAUGUUCUUACUCUGAAAUGUGCGAGACUGAAGAGUAGGAAGAGAGAGAAUGGCAGAACUUCUCGGCAGGUUGGGGUGGCACAGAGGGAAAUCUAGAAAGAAAAACUGGGCUCCAGACUGUUGCUUGCUGGAUUUACGGCCAGGAUAUGGGUGCUAAAUUUACUGUAGAUUUACUGUAGAUUUACUCUUCUUGCAAUGAGAUGUUCACAGGCACUGGAGCCAAGCACACCCGGGGCCAGCCCUGACUCCAUCACUUACUUGUUAUCUGACCUUUGAUAAAUGAGUAAACUCUCUGAGCCUCAGCUUCACCACUAAGAUGAAGAAAGGAUACCCAAAUACUAGCUUGUAUGGUAGACGAGAUGUCAGUAAAGGUUCCCUUCUUUCCUGUUUAUCUACAUCCCUUUCUCUUAUUUGCUCACAGUCACCACUUCAUUCUUUCUUCCAUCUCUAAUUUCAUUCUCUAUUUUUCAUUCUUCAUCAUUUUUUAUCUUUCCCCAUCUCUAUAUGUAUUUUCACUUCUGUGGUUAGGCAUAUGCUUUUCUAGUUCCUUUUCCCCUCUAACUUGCAGGAUAUUUUAGCACUUUAAAAAGUCAAUUCUGGGAAUGAGGACAGGGGGCCAAUUAACCUGUCAGUCCCACAGAGUCUCAUAGGCACUCCUGAUCCCACUGGGCAUGCUCAGCCUUCUCAGCCUUGAGACACUAAGGGACAUUAGCAAGUGUCCCCUCCAGAGCCAGGACAGAAUUUAAGUCAUUUCAAAAGAUCCCUGCAACCUGGUCCAGAGGACACCAUUCCUACAUGCUAACCUUGGUACAAAAUGGAAUUGCUUCUUGUUAAUUCCUUUUGCACAUAUGCUAUUUCAAGGAUCUUAUGGGUAUUUUUCUAGGAAAUUUCAGAACAAAAAAGAAUCUCAAAAAAGAAUCUUUAAACAAGUUCACUAAAUACCAAUUUACUUGUGAUGUAUGUGAAAUACUGCAAAGGAAUCAGCACAAAUUUAGGAAGGUACUGAGUAGACAUUGUUCUGAAGACCCAGAGUAAUUGGGGGAAAAAUAGCUCCUUUCUCUUAAGAACCAUGUAUUUUAAGUUUGACUAACUGUAAUAGCAAUUUAAAGUAUGCUUUUACUAUAAUCACUGAAAAUCUUAAGAGAUUUGACACCUAUCCCAAUACUUAGAAUUUACUUUACAGCUAAUAUUGAUUUGUACAUAACCAUAAUUUCUUAUUAAAAUUUUUUAAAAGUGAUUUAGAAUUUGAUGCCCAUCUUUAAUACUUAAGACUUUUGGAUCUGAUCUAAACAAGAACUCUGAAAACAUUCUCUCACACAGAAUCAAACCAUUACUUCAUAUUAAUCAAGUCACCACUUUGUUGGUUAUUCUCUGACUCUCUUUCCCUGCCCCCACCUAGAUCCUCCUAGAUCUCUACCCUUCUCUGCCCUGUGUUCUGGGAGUCUGACCCUUGGCCUUGCAUCUCCCAGGCUUCUUUUCCCUCUGGCUUCUGGUUGGACCAUCUAGCAGGAGGCAGCAGCAGGAGCCUGGAGAGUUUAGGUGUAUACAUCAAAUGAAAUGAGAAGUAGCUGUGCUGACCAAAGAGAAAACACCUAGAACACAAGCAUAUUACAUGGAAUUUACAACACAGCAGCUGCUUCUUUAAUAAAAUUGAUGUCCCUUUUCAGACAUAGAUGAUAACUACAGAGAAGAAAACUACAACUUAUAAGCUACAUACUGGCCUCCAAAUACGUAGUUUCUUCAGCCAUGUAACAAGUAACAAUAUAACAUCAAGCUGAAGUAAAUAAUGCUCAUUUAUUUCAUCCAUGAGCGGUAUAUAUUAGUCCCUAGGUGAAAGGCUUUGAAAAAAAAUUGAAGACAAAAUUCCCUUGUUCAUUUGUGAAGCUUCUGUGAGAUACUGGAGCCAUUUCUAAUAUUUUUGUGGCAUACAGAUUUUUACUAGAUGUGAACUGUCUUAAUUUUCUACCGUUGGUCUGUUUCAAAUGCCAUGCAACAAACAAUUGUGUUAGACAAAUUUUCCAUGUGAACAAAUUAAUGUAGUUUUAUAGAGAAGCAUAAUCUAAAACAUAAUUUUUAUAGCCCUUCUUACAUGUAAACUUCUCAUUGCUUAAAUUAUUCUUCUUGCCUUUGGUGAAUGUCUAUUAAUUUUCACGUUUGGGCUUAUAGUGAUGACUAUUGCACAGACGGUUAGUAGAACACUAAACUUCUGUGUUGAAAACAAUAGCCUUAAAAGCUCCUGUCAGUCUCUCUGUCUCUGUCUCUGUCACACACACACACACACACACACACACACACACACACACACACACACACACAAAGAGGUACAGUCAACUCCAGCAAUAGCGUAUUUUCUUUUCAUUCAAAAAUAAAAUUUCAAAGUCAAAACAUUAUUUUAAAAGUCUAAUCCAAAUUUUAUGAUCUAUCUAAGUUGGUUUCUAGCAUUUUUAAGAGUAAACUCUCUGAAUACCCCAACUCUACACUUGUCCUUAAACUGAGGCAUGAAUUUGCAAAGCAAUGCCUCAAAAUAUUCCUGGAAAAAUAUGUCAUAAUGACAUUAAUCCGCUGUCUAGCGUUGCAGUGGACAUGAUGGCAUUUCUAUUAGCUUUUUAUUGAUGUUAAUGUAAAUAACAGAACCCCCAAAAGAAUAUUCUGAUAAUGAUUUAUUUAUUCACAGACUGUAUGCCAGGCCCUGUGCUAGUUAAUGAGGAUGUAAAGAUAAAAAGACAAAAGUUAAGUAGUUUUAUAGUAUUUAUAUGUUCCAAAAUGGUUCAUGUUAUUUCAUGUAGUGCUUUUUCUUAGAAGAAGAAAUGGUUGGAUCAUUUUCAGUAAAGAAAAAUUUUGUGUUCUCUUUAAAUCUAUUUGGUAAAUUAAUGAUAGUUUUAGGUUCGUGGUUAGGUUCAGUUCAGAUAUAUUUACUGAUGAUAAAAAUAUAUAGGCCAUUAAAUUCUGGAUUUAUUACAUUAAUGGUAAUAUAAUUAUAUAAUUUAGGAUUUGAAUUUUUAUGUAUGGGCACAUUCACUUGAUUUUUUUUUCUCUUUUUUUUAACAUUUUUUAUUGAUUUAUAAUCAUUUUACAAUGUUGUGUCAAAUUCCAGUGUUCAGCACAAUUUUUCAGCCAUUCAUGGACAUAUACACACUCAUUGUCACAUUCUUUUCUCUGUGAGUCAUCACAACAUUCACUUGAUUUUUGAAUCACUGUACAUGGCUUGGAAGCCAAAUUAUAUAAUAUGGAAUAUUUAUUUUCAGUUAUGUACCCAAAAAGAAACGUAUUAAUUUGAAAUUAAAAUUGUUUUAAGGAAAAUUAAACAUGAAGACUUCAAAGCUUAAGAAAUUAUAUUAGAGUGGGUGAUUAUCAGUGUUUUUUCCUCUCUUGAAAAAUCUUUCUGUAAUUAUAUGUAUCUUUAUAAUAUACACAAACAAAUAAACAGAGCUGCAGUUGUACACCCCAUACCAUAACACUGGCAACUGCUAAUCUCCCUACAGGAUUUUGGUUAAAGGUUUUUUUCACCAUAAAAGCUGAUUGGGAAUGUAUAUUUUAAUAGAAUAUUUUGUUCCUAUUUUUAGAAUUUAAAUAUUUGCUUAUUUAAAGCCAUUGGGAAUUUUAAGGCAAAGGAGACUCCAUCAGGUUAGGUAUUUUUUUAAACUGUUAAAAUUGAUUUCUGAGUACUCUCUGCCGGCAUGCCCCUUUAAUAAGUACAUCGAUUAGAACUUCUGUUUGCAAGAACUGUUGUUUUCAAGAACUGGAAACCCAAAAUGCACAAAUAUGAAGUAAAGAGGAAAACAAUAUGCCUGUUGUGAUACAUAAAAGGGAACAAUCAGUAUUAUUCAGAAACAAGGGAUAAAAGGUGAAGUGAGGAUGGCAGUGGUUUUGUCUACUUUAUUUGUAUAUUUCACUAGAUGAAAAACUACUGCCAUUUGGUGUGCUCAGAUGCUCACUCGCUCACUCUCUAUUUAAAUAUAAAGAUGCAUAUAUUUAAAUAAAUAAAUACUUGUUUAAAUAUGAUAUACUUUUGCCUAAAAUUUAUAAUGUGAAAGGAGGUAUUUCAGAUGCAGACCUCUCCAAUGAGAGGACCCCAAAGGCACAUCUGUUUGGUUUAUGACCCUCACAUUCUAUCAUGGGGUGAGGUGCAGUGGAAAAGAAUGCCAUCAUGUUCAUAGCUGUAUGAAACUGAAAAGUUAGAGCAUCUAAGUAGCAAUCACUUCAAAAUCAAAUUGUUAUGGACAUCACCAAGGGGAAUCAAAGCAGUUGCUUUUUUAAAGAGGGAAGAUCAUUGCUCACUUCCGUUUUCCUUCCUUCAGUGGAAGCUUGGUGCCACUUUCUUUUCCAACAAAAUUUCCUCUCUGGAUCAUAUGACAUGGUCCUUUUAGAUAGUUCAGUAUCUAAAUCUCUUCUGUAAUGAAGAGCCUAUUACUUCUAGGGAGUCCCUGGCAAAUUGAAUUUCCAUAACUGGGAAGUAGGUUUCUCAUUCUUCCUAAAUCUGAGCAGCACAGCAUUUCUGGAGGAAAGAGCCUCCCCUGCUACUCCCCUUUCUUGGGAGGGGAAGAGAAUGCAACUGCUGCCUUACCAGCUUACCCAAAGUCACUUGGAUGGGACCUUAUUCAUUGUUUACUCCCAUUUUGCUGUUCAUCCACUGGAUAUCCCAAUCUCCCUUGCUUUAUGCCUUCAGAAAGUGUGUUCCAAGCUUAGUUUUAACCCAUCCAAAUUUUGGUACCUCUGCUAUAAAGUUUUUAUUUGCAUUGAUCUCAACUAUGCCACUUUUCAAAUUCUAUGCUCACAGUUUUACCCUUUAAAUAGAAAGAAAUUAGAUGGAGAAAGAAGUAACCAGGGCUCCACAGAACUGUCUCAGACUAGGGACGGAGAUGAGGAAGAAGUUCACAGACCUGACAAGGUAUGCUGAGUACAGCUGACUCCAGCCAACACUUCCUGUGUCUUUCUGCCCCAUUCAUUCAGUGAACCUCAUGGCAGCCCCUCAGACAACUGCCUGCAGCAACUGCACUUUUUCCUCCCCUAUCCACAGUGGAUUUGUUUAGGCAAAUACUAGCAUGUCCCCCUACAUGUCUGGCCAUUGCUUCAUUAUUUCCUUUAUUUAUUCAUUUAUUCAUUAUGCAGUCAACGAAUAUUUACAUAACACCUAUCUCAGGUGAUGGGAAUAUAAAAUUGAACUAAGUCACUGCUCAUAUAGACUCUACAUUUCAAUUGAUAUGACAACACACAAGGAAAUAAAAUGUUAGGCUGAGAAUAAACAGUAUAAUGAACAUUAAGGCUGGAUGUGGUGUCAGGGAAGAACUGUCUCUGAAGAAGAUGUAUUUGAGCAAAGACCUGAGUAAAGUAAGGAGAAAGCCUUAUGUAAGAUGAAGGGAAUGGCAAUAGUGGUUCCUUCAUUCAUCCUACCUGGAAGAAAGUACAUGAGCUCAUUUUCUAAUAAGGUGAUUCACCUGUCACCACUAGCAGGAACCCCACAAUUUUGUAUUAUAGCCCUCAUAUACAUACUUAGCACUAAGAUAUUUGCCUUCAGGGUAGAAGUUUGCUCAAAGGAGAAAACAAGAAUGGAAUUAAAUUUUAAACUUCUGGUUAAAACUGAUUUUUAAAAUUAUGCUUCAGUAGAAUAUUCUUAUUUUAGCCUUUAUCCUCAUGUUGAAAUAUGAAUCACUGAAAUCUACAGCUUUAAGAAUGGGGCUCAUUCUGUGAUCCUUCAACUUACUGUAAAACAAAGUACCUAAUUUUGGUGAGAUAAAUUGAUUCAAUCUUUGCUAUAGUUUUAGAAUUAUCAAGCUGGUUUCCAUCUUGAUAUAAAUGCAACAAUAUAAUACUUAUUUCUACAUAGCCUUCCAGCACAGAUUACCGAGGAAGCAAAAGUAUUUUUCUGCUAGAUUUCUGUCCUUCCUAAAAAGUUCUUUAUUUAGUAUUUUUAAAUGCCCCCUAGAUAUAAAGAGCCUUUAAAUUUAAUAGUAAAAAGUAGAUUUUCACAUGUGAAAAUGUUAUAGUUUUUUGUUUUCUUAUUAAUGUUCAUAAACCACCAGAUAGAUUCAUUUAGAUUGUAAAGUAUAAUUUAAAAUGCUAUGUUAAGGGAUACAGCCCUAGUUCAUUUCUUAAUAAUAUCUAACCAAAUAAAAACCUACUCUUUAGGAUGGAUAUGUACAUGAGGAUUUUUUUUCUUAAAUGAGACCAUGCAAAUUAGGAAUAAGAAACUACAUCUCCCUUUGGUCCUUACUGCCUAUUUCAAGAGACAGGCUUCCAAAUUAUAAUGAUGUCACACAGGAGGGCAAGAGAAAACACAAUGUGAAGUUGUGAAUAGAGAUUAUAAUAUAAAGAAAGCAAUGUGCCCUAUUCUAAAGAUGUUGUUAAAUUUAACAUUUUCUUUUCACCUUCUCUUACAUUAUUUUCUGCUUUAUGAGUUCAUACUUUCUUUUUUCCUAAUGAUUACUGCCCUUAUUUUCUAAAGAAAUUGCUCCAUGUUUCUGUAAAGUUAUCUACAGAGAGACGAUUAGAACUACUAAUCAGGCUUUCAGUGACUUCUGGAUUAAGUAAUUGACUGGGUAGCUUUCUUACCAAUUAUUGUAAAUAAACUAAUCAUACCUCAAAGUAAUGAUCACACGGUCAGGGAAGAUUCAUUUUUCAGUUACAUGUUUCUAUAGCUUACAUAAGUCAUUUAACUUGAACCUUAAUAAAGGUCUAUCUGCUUAAUGUGUGUGUGCACGUACUCAGCUACCAUUAAUUCUUGGAUACUUCUCAUGAAAAUUGAUAAAGAACCCCCCCCCCAACUUUUAUAUAUAACAACUGUUUGGAGAUAGUGUUUCAUUAAGUUUUCUUUUAGCAAAGUCUUUUCACAGGUAGGAAAAUCUAAAUGUGAUAUUUGUUUUUAUUGAAGUACAGUUCAUUUAUAAUGUAUUAGUUUUAGGUGUACAGCAAAGUGAUUCAGAUAUAUAUUACUUUUUAGAUUCUUUUCAAUUACAGGUUAUUAAGUGUGAUGUUUUGAGUGUAAUGUUUUGUUGCAAUAAUGUCUUGCUAAUAAAAUAACUAGUAAAAUAAAA